CAGCCGCCGCGGUAAUACAGAGGGUGCAAGCGUUGUUCGGAAUUAUUGGGCGUAAAGCGUGUGUAGGCGGCGUGACAAGUCGGGUGUGAAAGCCCUCAGCUCAACUGAGGAAGUGCGCCCGAAACUGUCGUGCUUGGGUGCCGGAGAGGGUGGCGGAAUUCCCCAAGUAGAGGUGAAAUUCGUAGAUAUGGGGAGGAACACCGGUGGCGAAGGCGGCCACCUGGACGGUAACUGACGCUGAGACGCGAAAGCGUGGGGAGCAAACAGGAUUAGAUACCCCUGUAGUCCCUGUCUCUUAUAC
rnacentral:rRNA from 1 species